GCACCACAACAGGUGGAGCCUGCGGUUUAAUCGGACUCAACGCCGGGAAACUCACCAGAUAAGACAGCUGAAUGAUAGUCGGGCUGAAGACUCUACUUGACUAGCUGAGAGGAGGUGCAUGGCCGUCGUCAGUUCGUACUGUGAAGCAUCCUGUUAAGUCAGGCAACGAGCGAGACCCACGCCAACAGUUGCCAGCUCGUCCUCCGGGAUGGUGGGGACACUGUUGGGACCGCCUCUGCUAAAGAGGAGGAAGGAAUGGGCAACGGUAGGUCAGCAUGCCCCGAAUUAUCCGGGCUACACGCGGGCUACAAUGGUCAGGACAAUGGGUAUCAACACCGAAAGGUGAAGGCAAUCUCCUAAACCUGUCCUUAGUUCGGAUUGUGGGCUGCAACUCGCCCACAUGAAGCUGGAAUCUGUAGUAAUCGCGUCUCAACAUGGCGCGGUGAAUAUGUCCCUGCUCCUU
rnacentral:rRNA from 1 species